GAUGAACGCUAGCGGCAGGCUUAACACAUGCAAGUCGAGGGGUAGAGGAAGCUUGCUUCCUUGAGACCGGCGCACGGGUGCGUAACGCGUAUGCAACCUACCUUUUACAGAGGGAUAGCCCAGAGAAAUUUGGAUUAAUACCUCAUAGUAUAUAGUCUUCGCAUGUUGACUAUAUUAAAGUUCCAACGGUAAAAGAUGGGCAUGCGUCCUAUUAGCUAGAUGGUAAGGUAACGGCUUACCAUGGCAACGAUAGGUAGGGGUCCUGAGAGGGAGAUCCCCCACAGUUGUACUGAGACACGGACCAGACGCCUACGGGAGGCAGCAGUGAGGAAGAUUGGACAAUGGGCGCAGGCCUGAUCCAGCCAUGCCGCGUGCAGGAAGAAGCAUCUAUGGUGUGUAAACUGCUUUUGUACAGGAAGAAACACCCCGACGUGUCGGGACUUGACGGUACUGUAAGAAUAAGGAUCGGCUAACUCCGUGCCAGCCGCCGCGGUAACAC
rnacentral:rRNA from 1 species